rnacentral:rRNA from 1 species
GAUGAACGCUGGCGGCGUGCCUAAUACAUGCAAGUCGAGCGAACAGACGAGGAGCUUGCUCCUCUGACGUUAGCGGCGGACGGGUGAGUAACACGUGGAUAACCUACCUAUAAUACUGGGAUAACUUCGGGAAACCGGAGCUAAUACCGGAUAAUAUAUUGAACCGCAUGGUUCAAUAGUGAAAGACGGUUUUGCUGUCACUUAUAGAUGGAUCCGCGCCGCAUUAGCUAGUUGGUAAGGUAACGGCUUACCAAGGCAACGAUGCGUAGCCGACCUGAGAGGGUGAUCGGCCACACUGGAACUGAGACACGGUCCAGGCUCCUACGGGCGGCAGCAGUAGGGAAUCUUCCGCAAUGGGCGAAAGACUGACGGAGCAACGCCGCGUGAGUGAUGAAGGUCUUCGGAUCGUAAAACUGUGUUAUUAGGGAAGACCAAAUGUGUAAGUAACUAUGCACGUCUUGACGGUACCUAAUCAGAAAGCCACGGCUAACUACGUG